rnacentral:rRNA from 1 species
UACAUGGGGUGCAAACGUUGCUCGGAAUUAUUGGGCGUAAAGCGCGCGUAGGCGGUUACUCAAGUCGGAUGUGAAAGCCCUCGGCUUAACUGAGGAAGUGCACCCGAAACUGAGUAGCUAGAGUACCAAAGAGGGUCGCGGAAUUCCCGGUGUAGAGGUGAAAUUCGUAGAUAUCUGGAGGAACACCGGUGGCGAAGGCGGCAUCCUGGACCAACACUGACGCUGAGUGAGCGAAAGCCAGGGGAGCAAACGGG